GGGGGGGGGGGGGGGGGGGACUUGAUGCCUCUUGAAGCCCCUGUUAUUUCUACCACCUGCUGCACAAAUCUGGAGAAACACGCACUGACCAGUAACCAGCGGGGUUACGAGCUGACGGACGAGACAGAGAGGUUUAUCCUGUUUGUUUGGGUUUCGUCCGACAAUCCCCACCCUCCCUCCUCCACUCCUCCUCUCCCACCCCCCACCCCCCUCCACCACCCACCCCCUCCACCACCCCCAACACCUCCCGCGUUUCCCCCGCUGCGGUCCGACGGUGGGGUGGGGUGUGUGCGGGAGAGGGCCGGAGCGAACCGACAGAUGGAACUCCGGCUCGGCGGCUGGCUGUCCCGCUCAGCGGACAGGAUAUAACUUAUCUGGGCUCCCCGGCGUCCGCUCUGUGCUGCACCCGAUUAAACACCCCAUCCCGAGCACAGUAGCCACCGACAGGCCGACGCCGGCCCGAACGCCUCUCGGGCCUGCAGAUUCAGCAUAAAAUCUGUGUGUGUGUGUGUGUGUGUGCGUCUCCCGUGUGCGUGCGCGUGUGUGUUAAGUUGGGGCUCCGUGCCGGGCCGGGAAACUCUCCAGAUAGCUCAGGUAUCAGACACAGUGUGUGAAAUAAUGUGUUCCUCUCCCUUCGCACCUCUGAUGUUUGCCUUACUUACUAUUUUUGAUGGAGGAUUUCCUCGAACCCUGAUUCAGUUCACAAAGCAGUUGUAUUUUGUUAGACUUUUCCUACAAGUGCACAAUGUAUAGACUGAAAUAGAUCACCGUUAUCACUCCAUCGUGUCACCGCCCAUUUCACCCAUCGCCCUCACUGUUUUUCCUCCACCUGGACUGUUAAGUGUGUAUGUGCACAUGUAUGCUUGUUUGUGUGUGUGUGUGUGUGUGUGUGUGUGUGUGUGUGUGUUUCCAGGAAUACUCCCUUCUCCACUGGUCUGAUAUGAGCAUUAGCAUUACUCCGGCAUUUAUGACCCACUUGUGUGUGUAUUCCAGGGCGCGGCCGGGCAUGUCCGGACCAGCUCCGUGUCUGCAGCGACUUAUUGGCUCACGGGUUAGAGCGCUUCGUCACUGUAUCGCCAGCUCGCAACACAGGAAAUUUAUUUGAAAGAAGAAGAAGAAGAGAAAAAUAAUAGAGGCAGACAGACUGAUGCGCCUGCAGACAUACAAACAUGCCCGAGAUCUUACUAAACUCUCUCAGUGCUCCAGUUGGCAGCCGCUGAAGGUUGCACUGUGUCUGAUGAGCUUUCAGGGUGACGGGUUUUAAGACAGCAGGCAGGUUGCUCUGCGUUUGUUCUCGCUCCUGGUGCUACGUGUAAGCAUCAAAAGCUCAGAUUGGUGCCUGCUGCCCGGGCAGGGUGGGCGUAGGUUGGGAGCCUGGCACCGACUGGCUGGCCUACAUAGGUAAGGAUGCCCUAUAUAUAAGUUGGACAGAGAGCCGCGGUUGAACAUUGGGAUACAGUAUCGUCACAUGCCAAUUGGCCGCCAUCUGUAGAUGAGUCAGUGGCGUCGCUAGCGUGUGACUAAUCUAUGUGCCAUCUCCGUGCCCACACUCACCAGCUUGGGGAAAAGAGAGAGAGUGGCAGAUAAAGGAGAGAAUGUUCCUGUGACUUGGCUUUAACCUGAGAGGAAGAGGGAGGGAGGAGGGUGGAGGUAGUUUAGCAUUCUUUUUUUCUUUUUUUUUUUUUUCCCAUCCUCUCUCGCCAGUUGUGCUGUGAAUAAAAAAUGCUGCGCACAAUAUUCUCCGGUGGAGGUGUUUCGAGCCGGUGAGGACGCCGCGGCCCAGGGGCGGCGGCCGCUCCCGCGCGGGGUUUACUGCGGCUGGGGGGUGCGCACGUUGCGUUGCACGCCGACGCUGGCACCUCGGUGAGGGCGGGGAUGGAGGCGUCUGCCGGUGGACACGGCGGCGCUGAGGUGUGCGAGUGCUUAUUUGUGCUUAUAUUUGCAGUUUUUUUUUUUUUCCUUCCUCCGUGAGAUUGUGUGCGCGGGUUCCUGUGGUCGAGCAGCUGAACAGACUUGUUUAGUGUGUGUAUGUGUGUGUGUGUGUGUGUGUGUGUGUGUGUGUGUGUGUGUG